rnacentral:rRNA from 1 species
UACCCGCAGCACAAGUGGUGGUCAUUAUUAUUGGGCCUAAAGCGUCCGUAGCUGGUUUGUUAAAUGCCUGGGUAAAUCGAUGCGCUCAACGUAUCGAACUCCGGGUAGACUGGCAAACUCGAGACCGGGAGAGGCGUGAGCUACUCGAGGGGUAGGGGUAAAAUCCUGUAAUCCUUCGGGGAGGACCAGUGGCGAAGGCGUCACGCUAGAACGGCUCUGACAGUGAGGGACGAAGCCCUGGGGCGCAAACCGG